GCAACAAUAUGUAUAUGGAACUACACUGGACAGCAUUGCAAAAGUCACAGGGAUCGCGAAAUUUGAUCUUCAUGCUAAACGCGAAACGGGAAAGACGAAAAUUGAAGUUGGAGGAAAUGUUCAGGGCCUCUAUGACCUUGGACCUGGUAGAUUUGGUUCUGAAGCUAUCUUUGUUCCUCGCAUACCCGGCACCACUUCAGAAGAAGAUGAUGGCUACUUGAUAUUAUUCGUUCACGACGAGAAUACUGGAAAAUCUGCAGUGAAUGUCGUGGAUGCAAAAACUAUGUCAUCUGAGCCUGUUGCAGUUGUCGAAUUGCCACACAG
rnacentral:misc_RNA from 1 species